UACGGAGGGUGCAAGCGUUAUCCGGAUUUACUGGGUUUAAAGGGUGCGUAGGUGGGUCUGUAAGUCAGUGGUGAAAUCUCCGAGCUUAACUCGGAAACUGCCAUUGAUACUAUAGAUCUUGAAUUAUCUGGAGGUAAGCGGAAUAUGUCAUGUAGCGGUGAAAUGCUUAGAUAUGACAUAGAACACCAAUUGCGAAGGCAGCUUACUACGGAUCGAAUUGACACUGGAGGCAACGAAAGCGUGGGGAUCAAACAGG
rnacentral:rRNA from 1 species